UUUAGAGUGGUCUGUGGAAAACUAAAGUAAACAAGAAAAUAUCUAGGGAAGUUUAAGAAUGGGAGGAAAUGAGUCAUUGAUAAUAUGCUUGCUCCAGAGGAUAACCUUUGUACCAAACAGCAGAGAACUGACAUCUAAUCAGCAGAGGUUGGCCUUGGCAGUUUAUGAAGGAAUGUCCAGAGGGAGCACAGGGAAAGGCAGUCCAGUGAUCCUUCCCUGAAUUUUUUACUGUUCGAUGUCAGCCUUUAAUUCCCUUGAGAUGGGGGAAUUCAAAUCCUAAGGAUCCAUAAACAGCAAGGCUUUUGCAUUUACUAUAUUUAACAUCUUGGAAUUUAGUAAACAUCACUUCUGUGGAAAGCUACUGAUGGUGUUACACACUGGUCAAAACCAACUGGCAUGAGAACCCAGCUGGAAUCGUUUAUGAAAAAUUCCACCUUCUGAGGCACAGAGUCUAGCAGAGAAGAGCUGAAGAUGGCACUAGAAGACAACAAGUGGAGAAUAACCAGCAUACUUAUAACAGUGAAAUACAAGUGCCCCCUCAUCUCUGGGGGAUACGUUCCAAGACCCCUCAUGGAUAUCUGAAACUGCCGAUAGUACUGAACCCUAUGUAUACGAUGUUUUUUCCCUAUACAUACCUAUCUAUGAUAAAGUUUAAGUUAUUAAUAUAAA